rnacentral:rRNA from 1 species
UACGUAGGGGGCAAGCGUUGUCCGGAUUUAUUGGGCGUAAAGAGCGUGUAGGCGGCCAUGUAGGUCCGUUGUGAAAACUCGAGGCUCAACCUCGAGACGCCGAUGGAAACCAUGUGGCUAGAGUCCGGAAGAGGAGAGUGGAAUUCCUGGUGUAGCGGUGAAAUGCGCAGAUAUCAGGAAGAACACCCGUGGCUAAGGCGGCUCUCUAGUACGGUACUGACGCUGAGACGCGAAAGCGUGGGGGAGCGAACAGG